rnacentral:rRNA from 1 species
GAUGAACGCUAGCGGCAGGCUUAACACAUGCAAGUCGAGGGGUAUAGUUCUUCGGAGCUAGAGACCGGCGCACGGGUGCGUAACGCGUAUGCAAUCUACCUUUUGCAGAGGGAUAGCCCAGAGAAAUUUGGAUUAAUACCUCAUGGUAUGUGAGAAUGGCAUCAUUUUCACAUUAAAGUCACAACGGCAAAAGAUGAGCAUGCGUCCCAUUAGCUAGUUGGUAAGGUAACGGCUGACCAAGGCAACGAUGGGUAGGGGUCCUGAGAGGGAGAUCCCCCACACUGGUACUGAGACACGGACCAGACUCCGACGGGAGGCAGCAGUGAGGAAUACUGGACAAUGGGCGCAAGCCUGAUCCAGCCAUGCCGCGUGCAGGAUGACGGUCCUAUGGAUUGUAAACUGCUUUUGUACAGGAAGAAACACUGGUUCGUGAACCAGCUUGACGGUACUGUAGGAAUAAGGAUCGGCUAACUCCGUGCCAGCCGCCGCCGUAAAAC